rnacentral:rRNA from 1 species
UACGUAGGGUGCAAGCGUUAAUCGGAAUUACUGGGCGUAAAGCGUGCGCAGGCGGUUUUGUAAGUCUGUCGUGAAAUCCCCGGGCUCAACCUGGAAAUUGCGAUGGAGACUGCAAGGCUAGAAUCUGGCAGAGGGGGGUAGAAUUCCACGUGUAGCAGUGAAAUGCGUAGAGAUGUGGAGGAACACCGAUGGCGAAGGCAGCCCCCUGGGUCAAGAUUGACGCUCAUGCACGAAAGCGUGGGGAGCAAACAGG